AAUACAGGAUCGUAUACAGUCGAGCGGAUGACGGGAGCUUGCUCCUUGAUUCAGCGGCGGACGGGUGAGUAAUGCCUAGGAAUCUGCCUGGUAGUGGGGGACAACGUUUCGAAAGGAACGCUAAUACCGCAUACGUCCUACGGGAGAAAGCAGGGGACCUUCGGGCCUUGCGCUAUCAGAUGAGCCUAGGUCGGAUUAGCUAGUUGGUGGGGUAAUGGCUCACCAAGGCGACGAUCCGUAACUGGUCUGAGAGGAUGAUCAGUCACACUGGAACUGAGACACGGUCCAGACUCCUACGGGAGGCAGCAGUGGGGAAUAUUGGACAAUGGGCGAAAGCCUGAUCCAGCCAUGCCGCGUGUGUGAAGAAGGUCUUCGGAUUGUAAAGCACUUUAAGUUGGGAGGAAGGGCAGUAAGCUAAUACCUUGCUGUUUUGACGUUACCGACAGAAUAAGCACCGGCUAACUCUGUGCCAGCAGCCGCGGUAAUACAGAGGGUGCAAGCGUUAAUCGGAAUUACUGGGCGUAAAGCGCGCGUAGGUGGUUCGUUAAGUUGGAUGUGAAAGCCCCGGGCUCAACCUGGGAACUGCAUCCAAAACUGGCGAGCUAGAGUACGGUAGAGGGUGGUGGAAUUUCCUGUGUAGCGGUGAAAUGCGUAGAUAUAGGAAGGAACACCAGUGGCGAAGGCGACCACCUGGACUGAUACUGACACUGAGGUGCGAAAGCGUGGGGAGCAAACAGGAUUAGAUACC
rnacentral:rRNA from 1 species